CCUACGGGAGGCAGCAGUCGAGAAUCAUUCACAAUGGGGGAAACCCUGAUGGUGCGACGCCGCGUGGGGGAAUGCAGGUCUUCGGAUUGUAAACCCCUGUCAUGUGGGAGCAAAUUAAAAAGAUAGUACCACAAGAGGAAGAGACGGCUAACUCUGUGCCAGCAGCCGCGGUCAUACAGAGGUCUCAAGCGUUGUUCGGAAUCACUGGGCGUAAAGCGUGCGUAGGCUGUUUCGUAAGUCGUGUGUGAAAGGCGCGGGCUCAACCCGCGGACGGCACAUGAUACUGCGAGACUAGAGUAAUGGAGGGGGAACCGGAAUUCUCGGUGUAGCAGUGAAAUGCGUAGAUAUCGAGAGGAACACUCGUGGCGAAGGCGGGUUCCUGGACAUUAACUGACGCUGAGGCACGAAGGCCAGGGGAGCGAAAGGGAUUAGAUACCCUGGUAGUC
rnacentral:rRNA from 1 species